rnacentral:rRNA from 1 species
GAUGAACGCUGGCGGCGUGCCUAAUACAUGCAAGUCGAGCGAACGGACGAGAAGCUUGCUUCUCUGAUGUUAGCGGCGGACGGGUGAGUAACACGUGGAUAACCUACCUAUAAGACUGGGAUAACUUCGGGAAACCGUAGCUAAUACCGGAUAAUAUUUUGAACCGCAUGGUUCAAAAGUGAAAGACGGUCUUGCUGUCACUUAUAGAUGGAUCCGCGCUGCAUUAGCUAGUUGGUAAGGUAACGGCUUACCAAGGCAACGAUGCAUAGCCGACCUGAGAGGGUGUUCGGCCACACUGGAACUGAGACGCGGUCCAGACUCCUACGGGAGGCAGCAGUAGGGAAUCUUCCGCAAUGGGCGAAAGCCUGACGGAGCAACGCCGCGUGAGUGAUGAAGGUCUUCGGAUCGUAAAACUCUGUUAUUAGGGAAGAACAUAUGUGUAAGUAACUGUGCACAUCUUGACGGUACCUAAUCAGAAAGCCACGGCUAACUACGUG